GGGACACAAUAACUUGGGGACACGGGGCAAUCAGGAUUUGGGGACAUGGGGACAGCAGAAUUUGGGGACACGGGCACAGCACCACCCCCUGCUCCGUCCCCCCCAGGCCUCUCGGUGGCCCUCAGCCCGUCCCCGUCCCCGUCCCCGCUCGCCCCGCUGGCCCCAGGGGACCAUGAACGUGCUGGCCCCCGUCCGCAGGGACAGGAUCAUCGCCGACCUGCCACAGUGUUUUCGGAAGGAGGCCGCCCUGCACGCCCGCAACGCCUUCCACCCCAGCGUGGCCAGCGCCUGCCAGGAGCAGCGGACGGGCACCGUGGGGUUCAAGAUCUCCAAAAUCAUCGUGGUGGGGGACCUGUCGGUGGGGAAGACCUGCCUGAUCACCCGUUAACGGGCACUUUUUUGGGGGGGCACAGUGAGAAGACCCCCCCCAGGGGGUCUGACGCUCAUCUCCUGCUCUCCCCCCCCAACCCCCCAAAAAGCUUCUGCAAGGACACCUUCGACAAGAACUACAAGGCGACCAUCGGGGUGGAUUUCGAGAUGGAGCGCUUCGAGGUGCUGGGGGUGCCCUUCAGCCUGCAGCUGUGAGUUGGUGCCAGCCCCCCGCCCCCCAAAAAGCACCCCCUGA
rnacentral:lncRNA from 1 species